GUGUGUGAAGUUUAUAAGGGCACAGGGUGGAUGCCUUGGCACUAGGAGCCGAUGAAGGACGUUGUAGCCUGCGAUAAGCCUCGGGGAGUUGGCAAACGAACCGUGAUCCGAGGAUGUCCGAAUGGGGGAACCCCGCCACAGUCAUGUGUGGUGACCCGCACCUGAAUAUAUAGGGUGCGUGGAGGGAACGUCGGGAAGUGAAACAUCUCAGUACCGACAGGAAGAGAUAUUCCGUGAGUAGUGGCGAGCGAAAGCGGAUCAGGCCAAACCGUGCAUGUGUCAAAGCUGUCAGGCGUUGCAUGUGCGGGGUAGUGGGACCUUCCGGUCCGGACUGACAUCCGGGCAAGGAGUGAGAAAGCCGCAUCAUAGUCGAAGGGCAUUGAAAGGCCCGGCACAGAGGGUGUGACCCCCGUAGACGAAAUGGUGCGGCCUCCUGGAGGGGAUCCCAAGUAGCACGGGGCCCGAGAAAUCCCGUGUGAAUCCGUCAAGACCACUUGAUAAGCCUAAAUACUCCCUAGUGACCGAUAGCGGACCAGUACCGUGAGGGAAAGGUGAAAAGUACCCCGGGAGGGGAGUGAAAUAGUACCUGAAACCGUGUGCCUACAAUCCGUCGGAGCCUCCUUAGCAGGGGUGACGGCGUGCCUUUUGAAGAAUGAGCCUGCGAGUUAGUGCUCAGUGGCGAGGUUAACCCGUGUGGGGAAGCCGUAGCGAAAGCGAGUCCGAACAGGGCGAUACAGUCGCUGGGUCUAGACCCGAAGCGAAGUGAUCUAGCCAUGGGCAGGUUGAAGCGUGGGUAAGACCGCGUGGAGGACCGAACCCACUUGGGUUGAAAACCGAGGGGAUGACCUGUGGUUAGGGGUGAAAGGCCAAUCAAACUUCGUGAUAGCUGGUUCUCCCCGAAAUGCAUUUAGGUGCAGCGUCACGUGUUUCUUGCCGGAGGUAGAGCUACUGGAUGGCUAAUGGGCCCUACCAGGUUACUGACGUCAGCCAAACUCCGAAUGCCGGUAAGACAGAGCGUGGCAGUGAGACUGCGGGGGAUAAGCUCCGUAGUCGAGAGGGAAACAGCCCAGACCACCAGCUAAGGCCCCUAAGCGUGUGCUAAGUGGGAAAGGAUGUGGAGUUGCACAGACAACCAGGAGGUUGGCUUAGAAGCAGCCACCCUUGAAAGAGUGCGUAAUAGCUCACUGGUCAAGUGAUUCCGCGCCGACAAUGUAGCGGGGCUCAAGUACACCGCCGAAGCUGUGGCAUUCACACUUCCGCCAGGCCUUCGUGGUCCAGGCGUGUGGAUGGGUAGGGGAGCGUCGUGUGGGCAGUGAAGUCGCGGAGUAAUCCAGCGGUGGAGCCUACACGAGUGAGAAUGCAGGCAUGAGUAGCGAAAGACGGGUGAGAAACCCGUCCGCCGAAUGAUCAAGGGUUCCAGGGCCAGGCUAAUCCGCCCUGGGUAAGUCGGGACCUAAGGCGAGGCCGACAGGCGUAGUCGAUGGACAAGGAGUUGAUAUUCUCCUACCGGCGAAGAACCGCCCAUACCGAGCCCGGUGAUGCUAACCGCCCGAGCCACCGCACCGACCCUUCGGGGUCAUCGUGGUGGGGAGCGCGGGACCCGAACCGGUAGUAGGUAAGCGUAUUAACAGGAGUGACGCAGGAAGGUAGCCGCACGUGGCGAUGGUUGACCACGUCCAAGGCUGUAGGGCGCCGGGUAGGCAAAUCCGCCCGGCACGAAGCCUGAGAGCUGAUAGUGACCACGCAUGUGGGAACGCGGUGAUCCUAUGCUGCCAAGAAAAGCUUCGACGCGAGGUUCUAGCCGCCCGUACCCCAAACCGACUCAGGUGAUCAGGUAGAGAAUACCAAGGCGAUCGAGCGAAUCGUGGUUAAGGAACUCGGCAAAAUGCCCCCGUAACUUCGGGAGAAGGGGGGCCGAAAGCGUGAACACCCUCGCGGUGGGAGCGUGGACGGCCGCAGAGACCAGGGAGAAGCGACUGUUUACUAAAAACACAGGUCCGUGCUAAGUCGCAAGACGAUGUAUACGGACUGACGCCUGCCCGGUGCUGGAAGGUUAAGAGGACGGGUCAGCCUUACGGCGAAGCUCAGAAUUUAAGCCCCAGUAAACGGCGGUGGUAACUAUAACCAUCCUAAGGUAGCGAAAUUCCUUGUCGGGUAAGUUCCGACCUGCACGAAUGGCGUAACGACUUCUCCGCUGUCUCAACCGCGAACUCGGCGAAAUUGCAGUACGAGUAAAGAUGCUCGUUACGCGCAGCAGGACGGAAAGACCCCGGGACCUUUACUAUAGCUUGAUAUUGGUGUUCGGUGCGGCUUGUGUAGGAUAGGUGGGAGACUGUGAGAUCCGCACGCCAGUGCGGGUGGAGUCAUCGUUGAAAUACCACUCUGGUCGCUCUGGAUUCCUAACCUCGGUCCGUGAUCCGGAUCAGGGACAGUGUCUGGUGGGUAGUUUAACUGGGGCGGUUGCCUCCAAAAAUGUAACGGAGGCGCUCAAAGGUUCCCUCAGCCUGGUUGGCAAUCAGGUGUCGAGUGCAAGUGCACAAGGGAGCUUGACUGUGAGACUGACAGGUCGAGCAGGGACGAAAGUCGGAACUAGUGAUCCGGCGGUGGCUUGUGGAAGCGCCGUCGCUCAACGGAUAAAAGGUACCCCGGGGAUAACAGGCUGAUCUUGCCCAAGAGUCCAUAUCGACGGCAUGGUUUGGCACCUCGAUGUCGGCUCGUCGCAUCCUGGGGCUGGAGUAGGUCCCAAGGGUUGGGCUGUUCGCCCAUUAAAGCGGUACGCGAGCUGGGUUUAGAACGUCGUGAGACAGUUCGGUCCCUAUCCGCUGCGCGCGCAGGAAACUUGAGAAGGGCUGUCCCUAGUACGAGAGGACCGGGACGGACGAACCUCUGGUGUGCCAGUUGUUCCGCCAGGAGCACGGCUGGUUGGCUACGUUCGGAAGGGAUAACCGCUGAAAGCAUCUAAGCGGGAAGCCUGCUUCAAGAUGAGGUUUCCACACCCCUCGUGGGUGGAAGGCACCCAGCAGAACACUGGGUCGAUAGGCCGGACGUGGAAGAAGGGACUAAAGACCUUCGCAGCUGACCGGUACUAAUCAGCCGACAACUUCACAACACAACACCUUUUGCAUGCACGCGUCCACUGUGCGGUUCCCGAGAAACGGGCACCACCAAC
rnacentral:rRNA from 1 species